rnacentral:rRNA from 1 species
CCCUUAGAUGUUCUGGGCCGCACACGCGCUACACUGGCAGGUUCAUCGAGCUUCAUGCCCUGAUCUGAGAAGAACGGGAAAUCUUUGAACACCUGCCGUGCUUGGGAUAGAUGUUUGCAAUUAUUCAUCUUCAACGAGGAUUGCCUUGUAAGCGCACGUCAUCAGCGUGCAUUGAAUACGACCCUGUAUUCUGCACACACCGCCCGUCGCUCCUACCGAUUGAAGUUUUCGGUGAAUUUACUGGAGAUCCCUUUUGAAGGUGGUUCGCCACUGGAAGAAGUAUUCAAAAGUAAAUGAAUCGAAUGCUUUAGAGGAAGGAGAAGUCGUAACA